rnacentral:tRNA from 1 species
GAGCCCUUAGCUCAUUGGUAGAGCGUUUGGCUCAAUGACCAAAGGUCGUGGGUUUAAAUCACAGAUGGUCCA